GGCCGGUUAGCUGAGUUGAUUAGAGCGUGGUGCUGAUAACACUAAGGUCGCAGGUUCGAUCCCAGUUCAGUCCC
rnacentral:tRNA from 1 species